rnacentral:rRNA from 1 species
UACGUAGGGGGCGAGCGUUGUCCGGAUUUAUUGGGCGUAAAGAGCGUGUAGGCGGCUUUGCAGGUCCGCUGUGAAAACUCGAGGCUCAACCUCGAGCUGUCGGUGGAAACCGUGAAGCUAGAGUCCGGAAGAGGAGAGUGGAAUUCCUGGUGUAGCGGUGAAAUGCGUAGAGAUCAGCAGGAACACCCGUGGCGAAGGCGGCCCCCUGGGCCGAACCUGACGCUGAGGCGCGAAGGCUAGGGGAGCGAACGGG